GCGCCAGGCUUGCUGGAGGUUUUGGGAACAGCGGGGUUGCAGUCAGCGUGGGGGAAAAGGGGGUCACCGGCUGGCCGCUUGAGACACGAGUCAGGGGAGGGCUUGGAGUUGGUGAACGGUGCUUCAUGAGUCUCCGAGGAGUCCGAGACCCUGUAACCUGUUGCCGGCUGUGGCAGAUGAGACUCGGAAGACUCCACGUGUGCAAGUGAAUCUGGAAGGAAAGACAGCAGGUUGUUGCAAGUGUUUAUCGCUGCAUGCGCCACAAUUCCUGAGCCUGCGCUCUAGAGCCCAUGAGCGCGCCUAGAUCCCGCGCUUUGCAGCAAGAGAAGCCACUGCAGUGAGAAGCCCGCGCACCACAACUAGAGAAAACACGUGUGCUGCGAUGAAGACCCAACCCAGCCAAUAAGAAAAAACUUUUUUUAAAAAAGUGUUUAUCUCUGGUUAAUGAGUGGUAUGGAGGACUUUCACUUUAGAUUUAUAUCCUUCUGAAUGUUUAAAUUUGCAAGUGACAUAUAUAGCUGAUCAGGGUAUUUCCCAUUAUCAAAACUUAAAUUUUUAGUUUAUUUUAUUGGUUUUUAGAUUCUCUCAGUCUCAUGAAUUGUAAAGCCCAAAAGUCCUAAAGACUUUGAACAUAAGUCAUUGUGUCAGUUAUCAGCGUAUUGCCUCUCAGGUCCAAAUACAUACUUCAACAUAGGCUCUGUGAUAAAAAACUGAAUUCCUUUAAGCAUUUCUUCUUUAAAGUGAGCACGAUGUUAAGCCUUCUCAGUUAAGUUCGCUGGAGGAAGAAGCUUCCUGCAGUUUCUGGGACCUGACCAGAGUUAGGAGUGUGGUUAGGAGAGACCGGACCAGAGGUAGGAGUGUGGUCAUGAAAACAUCCAGUGGGGUCCGCUCCAGCCACAGACCCAAACUCGGUCCUUCUGCAACCUUGCAGCUUCAGCCUGGCAAUAACCUGUAUGCAGCCCUCUUGACACAGAAACCAGAGCCCUGCGAGGCCUGCAGGCAACCACCUGCCCAUUGUCCUUCAGCAAGACUUUUGGGGGUCAGGGUCACACACUGAGCAGUCCUUCCGCCCCCCACCCCAGUAUUCCCCCCAGGCCUCUUGAAGGCCUUCUGUCCCUGCUGGCUCCCAGAUUCCCGUGGUUCCCCACAGGGCCAGUUGGUGAUUGCUCGCCUCCACCCGCUUCUCUGCCGUCUGCCUAGCAACUCCAGACUGCCUGCAGCCUGGCUAAACCAGCAAACUUCUCUGCUGUCUGGUAGCCAACCCUUGCUUUCUCCAACGAGAUCCAGACCCCUCUCAAAUUUGUCCUUGCAUACUCUCCCUCAGCCCUAGUUACCAUAUAGUUUCCUUUUAUCUUACAGUUCACUUUUAUCAUAGUUAAUUCUUGACAUGCAAAUUCUCUUGUUUAACCUACCAUGUGGUUUCUUCUUAUUGGAUCCAGACUACUGCAGGACUUUGAAGCCAAACUAGGUAGGUUCUACUACUUACUAUUUGUGUGACCUUGGGCAAAAUUACUUCACCUCUUUAUGCCUCAAUUUCUUCAUCUAAAAUGAAGUUAAUGAUAAUAACACCUACCUCAUAGGGUUGUUAUGAGGGUUGACUAAAUUUAUGUAUAUAAAGCAGUUAGAAUAUGUGCUGACACAUAAUAAUAAAUGUUAGCUGGGA